UCGAGGGGCAGCGGGGAGGAAGCUUGCUUUCUCCGCCGGCGACCGGCGCACGGGUGAGUAACACGUAUGCAACCUGCCCCUGUCAGGGGGACAACCCGCCGAAAGGCGGGCUAAACCCGCGUACAUGCCACCGGGGCAUCCCGGAGGCAGGAAAGGCUUCGGCCGGACAGGGAUGGGCAUGCGGCGCAUUAGGCAGUAGGCGGGGUAACGGCCCACCUAACCGACGAUGCGUAGGGGUUCUGAGAGGAAGGUCCCCCACACUGGUACUGAGACACGGACCAGACUCCUACGGGAGGCAGCAGUGAGGAAUAUUGGUCAAUGGUCGGGAGACUGAACCAGCCAAGCCGCGUGAGGGAGGAAGGUACAGAGUAUCGUAAACCUCUUUUGUCAGGGAACAAAGGCGGGGACGUGUCCCCGGAUGAGUAAAAAAAAUUUUUUAAGCAUCGGCUAAGGGGGUGAAAACAGCCGCGGUAAUACGGAGGAUGCGAGCGUUAUCCGGAUUUAUUGGGUUUAAAGGGUGCGCAGGCGGUCUGUUAAGUCAGCGGUCAAAGCCCGGGGCUCAACCCCGGCCCGCCGUUGAAACUGGCAGUCUCGAGUUGGAGAGAAGUAUGCGGAAUGCGCGGUGUAGCGGUGAAAUGCAUAGA
rnacentral:rRNA from 1 species